rnacentral:lncRNA from 1 species
CAGCAUUUCUGCACUUCAGUCUCCUAAGUUCUCCAUAACCCAGUGUAAGCUCCAGCUGGCUUUGUAGUCAGCUUCCCUUUCCUCUAUAUGGUGCAUUUAUGAGUUCAGCUGUGGGCCCUGUUAAUUUCCCUCCACAGCCUUUCUUCUUUUCCUAACACAUGCAUACUUGAGCCCGCUCUGGAGUGCUGACUAAGGAGGAACAAUAGGAGGCUUUGAGCAGGGCUCAGCCCCAGACCCAGUCAAUAUUUACUUCAGUUUGGAGGCACUGUUUUAAAGCUCCUUCCAAGACAAUUCUAUAGGAAAGCAGCCCUUUGGCAGUAAUGUAUUACUCAGGUUUCAAUGCAUUAAAAUAUGUGUUCCUUGACAAAUCCUGUUUCCUUUCUCAGCUACAUGUUGUUAUGAUCUAUUUAUACCUCUAACAUCAAUGUGUAUAUAAUAUGUACUAAGUUUAAGAUAGUCAAUAGCAAGAGUUCUCAAGCAGAGCGUCAAGAGGCUAAACCCUGCUCUCCUGGCAGCAGAAUUCAGAAAAAUCCAAGGAUCCCAGGGACAGCCCAGCUGACCGUAAGGAGCAGGCCCAGACAGGAAUUGAUUUGUUUCAACAAGCUCCUCAUUGGAAAUACA